rnacentral:rRNA from 1 species
UAAGGGAAUCUUCCACAAUGGACGCAAGUCUGAUGGAGCAACGCCGCGUGAGUGAAGAAGGUCUUCGGAUCGUAAAACUCUGUUGUUAGAGAAGAACACGAGUGAGAGUAACUGUUCAUUCGAUGACGGUAUCUAACCAGCAAGUCACGGCUAACUACGUGCCCG